AUCGAACGCUGGCGGCAUGCCUUACACAUGCAAGUCGAACGGCAGCACGGGUGCUUGCACCUGGUGGCGAGUGGCGAACGGGUGAGUAAUACAUCGGAACGUACCUUAUCGAGGGGGAUAACGCAGCGAAAGCUGUGCUAAUACCGCAUACGCCCUGAGGGGGAAAGCGGGGGAUCGCAAGACCUCGCGCGAUUAGAGCGGCCGAUGCCUGAUUAGCUUGUUGGUGGGGUAAAAGCCCACCAAGGCGACGAUCAGGAGCUGGUCUGAGAGGACGAUCAGCCACACUGGGACUGAGACACGGCCCAGACUCCUACGGGAGGCAGCAGUGGGGAAUUUUGGACAAUGGGGGCAACCCUGAUCCAGCAAUGCCGCGUGAGUGAAGAAGGCCUUCGGGUUGUAAAGCUCUUUUGUCAGGGAAGAAACACCGGCUCUAACACAGUCUGGGAAUGACGGUACCUGAAGAAUAAGCACCGGCUAACUACGUGCCAGCAGCCGCCGUAA
rnacentral:rRNA from 1 species